GCCUUUAUGCCUUUGGUGAACAAUUCGAAUCCCUUUGAAGCUUUUGGUUUUAUUUUCCGAUUCGGAGAUUUAUCGGAGGUCGUCGCCACUGUUGCCAAAUAAACAUCCAUUUGAAGCUUUUGGUUUUAUUUUCCGAUUC